UACAGAGGUCUCAAGCGUUGUUCGGAUUCAUUGGGCGUAAAGGGUGCGUAGGUGGCGCGGUAAGUCGGGUGUGAAAUUUCGGAGCUUAACUCCGAAACUGCAUUCGAUACUGCCGUGCUUGAGGACUGGAGAGGAGACUGGAAUUUACGGUGUAGCGGUGAAAUGCGUAGAUAUCGUAAGGAAGACCAGUGGCGAAGGCGGGUCUCUGGACAGUUCCUGACGCUGAGGCACGAAAGCUAGGGGAGCAAACAGG
rnacentral:rRNA from 1 species